rnacentral:lncRNA from 1 species
GUUCCCAUGGUGCUACAGCUGUCACUCUCUUCUCUGGGGUCUUUGUGGCAUUUCUUCUCCAAGUUCCAAAGGUUUCCUGCACCCAGGAUCAGGAGGAAAAUUACAAGAAACUCACGCAACUGAAGACUAGAAUAGACCUCCCAUCUCCUGGACUGGAUGCUUUUCCAUGGAAAUUGUUACUUCUUCUCCAUAACUAAACAUAACUGGCAUGAUUCUCUCACUGCUUGCAAGGAAAUAGGGCACAACUAAUCAUCAUUGAAGGUGACGAGGAGCAGACCCUUCUACAGAAGAUGUGUAAGAGGACAGGAAAUCUCUGGAUUGGGCUCUCAGACAUAAAAGAGGAAGGCUCAUGGCAGUGGGUGGAUGGU